CCGUGUUUUGUUGGUUCAAGUGCCCUUUUUCAAUGAAAUUUAUUUUGUGAUGAAUCGAUCUGGUCAUAUUCUGACAGAAUAUAAAAAAUCUGAUGUAACAAUCUGGCCACAUCCUUCUACUCUUAUUGAUUGAUCUGAUUAAUAUUUUUUUUGCAAUUCGAUGUACAAAUCAAUCUAGCUGAUUUUUAUAGUUCAUCCCAGUAAGUGAAAUAUUAUUCUCACAAGGUGUUCGACUAAUUUCGGAGUUGAUUUUAAGAUCCCUAAGUGGUUUCAACUGCAAACUAAUUUAGGUCCUGUAGUGAUUUGUCAAUGGCGUACUACCGAAGUGCUUCUAGCGAUAGCAACAUGCACGUACAAGUGCUUUGAAGCAGGCAUAUCGAUGGAUUUUUGGGAGGAAGAAGCUAGCAAGAUAAACUUUCGGCCUUAGCUCACAUGUAUAUUCUGAGAAUUUUCUUCUCCGUUGAACAAUUUAUGUCCUUCUGCAGAUGGCUAAUCAUCGGAACUAUGAGAAAGUAGGCCAUUGUUUACAAACUCAAGGAUUCAGUGAUGUUGAAGCUAAAAGCUGGACUUCACUGCCCUCUGCUCCUCAAUUCAGCCGCCGUUGCCCGCUGCUCCUCAAUUCAGCCGCUGCUGCCGCCACGUUGAGGCCCUCGCCACUAAGCCGGUGAACUUGGAUCAGGUGUGAACUUUGAUCAUGUUUUUCUUUACCUUAACAUCAAGCCGUCGGCUGGGUUUAGGAAGGUAGCUCACGGGACAAACAUUGGUGGCUCACACUCAAUUAUUAAGAGCACCAUAAUUGGAAAAUAUGCACUUGCUAAAACAAAAUUAAUAAUGACAAAAACUAUGAACAUCAGUCAAAGUUCAUGGUCAGAUUCCUCAUCACAGAUUUGGGUCAAAAGUCAAAAAUGCAAGGGAGUAACAACAAAAAAACACGACUUCAAUUGUGCUCCUGUUGGUUAAUAUACCGAGUAAAAAUAAAUAGAACAACCUAUAAUAUAGAGCUUAUGUGCUUUGCACGAAACUGAAUGCAUGGCACUGAACAUAUCUCUAAUCUAUUAUAUGUUAUAUAAGAAAGCACAUAAUUGGGAGGACUGAAAUCCAGCUUGGUUAAACGAAAUAAAUUGGCAACAUAAUUUGGGAGGUGCCUAUCUUUUGUAGCAACGAAGUAAGAUAGUCGACAAGUUCUGGAUCAACAAGACCCUGAGCAUGUCUUGACCCCUAAAUGGAUUACUGCAAGCCUUACUCAAAUGAUAAUAAUAAAAGGUAGACUCGGCUCCUCCACUCAUGCUUCUCUGAAUACAAUGUAAAUUUCAGAACAUGGCUCUCUGAAUUUCUACAACCUAAAUUUAGUACAUGCUUCUUUGAAUGUUGGCCAGCCAAUCGGUACUGUAUUGCAGACUUCAGAGAAUUGUAUGCAUGCCCUUUAUGCCAAUGGAUUACUGCAUUUUUAUGUUAGGUUUUACACUAUUUGAAUGUAAGGACUAUAUAGUAUCUCUUUGGCAAUCUAUGGCAAGUCAUUUUCUGCACAUAAAAUUCAGUGCAUGCUUCUCUGAAUAUCUGCAAUACAAGUGAGCAAAAUUCGUUCUUACAUGUUGUCCUGCCAAUUGGUAUUGGCAGCCUUGCAUACAUGUUUUUAAAAUGCUUAAUCCAAGUGCCACUUCUGUACUAAAUAAGCUGAACUUUAUUUUAUAAAUAACUAAAUGUUGGUUUGCUGACGUCUUCUUGUGAUUGAAUUCUGGAACUUACAUUGUCCGUUUGCAACAUUACAUACGGCCAUGCUUUGCAAGACGUUCUAUAUAUAGGCUCUUUUGUACGUGAUAAAAAAAUUUGGACACAUAUUUGUUACUCCCUCCGUCCCAUAUUUGUCAAAAACGCUCUUAUAUUAUGGGACGGAGGGAGUAGAACUAUGAGUUCACCAUAUACUAUGAAAAUUCAUCAACUUGGGAUUAUGAAUCAUGUUUGUUUUUUGGAGAACCAUGUACUGAUUUAGAUAAAACCUCAUUAGCGAGAAAUAUUUGACUCGUAGGGAGCUACUGUAGUUUUUCCUGCUUUUCCAAUUAUUCUGUUGUUACUUCGUUCAUAGCUAUGGAAUGGAUCCUUCUACCAUUGCCAGUUCAGCUAUACCAGGUACACUCUGAUGCUUGUUCAUGGAAUUUUGGUAACAAUAUGAACUGUGAUAUGUUCUGAAACAUAAACUGAGAGGCAAACUUAUAUUAUGUUUAACAGGUUUGGCUGUUGUUCCUCUAUACAACUUUAUCUUUUAGUAUCGACCAAUACCUCAUAUCCCAUUUGAAGGGAAUAUUGUGAUGCUCUAGGACUUUAUGUUAUUUUACCAUACAAUCCGAUAAAAAUGAUGCUCUUCUUCAAUGCCUGUCUAUCCACCUCCGACGUGUUGUUUGUUGGCUGUUCUUGUUAUGCUUUUUUCUGUUCGUUUCAAAGUUAUUAACUCAUUAGGCAUAUAAGUACCAAUAAUGCAAGUUUUUUUGGGUCAUUUGGAACUUAGCAAAAGUUCAUUUUAUUCUAAAGGUGAGUAUGGAAUCAUCCGACAUCCUGGUGGCUCUUGUAAGUCUCAAAUGGGAGAUUAAGGGACAAGUUGAUUGUUCACACAAGGUAGGUGUACUUUUAGGCCUCUGGUUUGUUCUAAACAUGUAAGUUCGGGCUUAGCCUAUACUCUUUUCACAGAGAGUUGCCGAGUUGUUUCUGUGCCAGGCUGUGAUGCAAGGUUUUGCCAUGUUGCUGAAAAGAUAUCAAUGUCGAAGACUAUAUACAACUUUGUAGUCGUCUGCUCAAAUUUUAGUCAAAAUAGAUAUUUGUAAGUUGAAAAUUUAUUUUUGGCAGGCUAAAAUAAUGGAGGUUGUGUGGGAAGAGAUUGUUGUUGUUUAAGGCUAACUAUUGUUGUUCUGUCACUUCCCCUUUCUCUUGCUGGUAUGUGGUUAUCCAUAUGAUAGCUGGGAUUGAAUAUGCAACAUGCAACUACCUUGUCUUCAUAAUUCACUAUUCAUCUUGAUACAUGAUGAUAUACUCAAAUUUUUGUUUUACUUGGAUAAUAGUACCUGUCAUUUUAUUUAGAAUAGUAGCAGGCCAUUUAUUUAGAAUACUACUAGGUCAUUUAUUUAAUUUAAUGCGUACAUUACAGUAUUCCUUUGAAUGCUAGCCAAACUUGUAGGUGAGUUAGAAACCUACUUCUAAGUUCUGGGAUGUCCGCCAAGCAACCAAACUUGUGUUGGGAGUGUCAUUCUGGUUGGCCUUCCACCAGAAGAAAAUCGCCAUGGACACCCCAAGUCGGUUGUUCCUCUACUCCAUAGAGAUGUGUCACUCACCGCCGUUGGCACUUAACUAACGACGGCGUCAAAAUAGAAAGAUGAAAAGUUGGACUUGUAAGAGAAUAGUCAUAUUACUACAAUAGAUGUAGAUCUUGAGCAUAUCGAAAGAUUAAAUUGUAAUUUGUAACAGGAAUGCAAUAGCAUUUUG
rnacentral:lncRNA from 1 species